UUAUAUGUGUAGGCAUAUGGCGGGUCGGGACACGCACCGGGCGGGCCUCUGCCGGGUCCUGGGGCGUGAUAGGUGACUUUCAGGUAGAUGAGUAGGNUUUAAAUCUAGCCUCAUAAAAAUAAUUCUGACUUAUCCUCCAGUUUUCAGAAUUUUCUGACACUGUGCAUUUUCUGUUAAAAUAACAGCCUCGAUUCACACAGAAAAUUCAAAAUCUUCUGUUCUCGCUCCGAUUUCCACACGAGCCGUUCCCGACUUAUAUUUUACUUCUAUAAGUCCAAUAAAAAUAGUAUCUCACACUAUUUUUAUUUAUACCCUUAUUAUAAAAUCCGGUAUGCUACAUGCUUCCUCUUUAU
rnacentral:lncRNA from 1 species